rnacentral:rRNA from 1 species
GGCCUUAGUGGCGCACGGGUGCGUAACGCGUGGGAAUCUACCCUUAGGUUCGGAAUAACUCACCGAAAGGUGUGCUAAUACCGGAUAAUGUCUUCGGACCAAAGAUUUAUCGCCUUUGGAUGAGCCCGCGUUGGAUUAGCUAGUUGGUAGGGUAAAGGCCUACCAAGGCGACGAUCCAUAGCUGGUCUGAGAGGAUGAUCAGCCACACUGGGACUGAGACACGGCCCAGACUCCUACGGGAGGCAGCAGUGGGGAAUAUUGGACAAUGGGCGCAAGCCUGAUCCAGCGACGCCGCGUGAGUGAUGAAGGCCUUUGGGUCGUAAAGCUCUGUCAGCAGGGAAGAACGGCCCUACGGUUAAUACCCGUAGGGAUUGACGGUACCUGCAGAGGAAGCACCGGCUAACUCCGUGCCAGCAGCCGCGGUAAUACGGAGGGUGCGAGCGUUAAUCGGAAUUACUGGGCGUAAAGGGCGCGUAGGCGGCUGAUCAAGUCAGAUGUGAAAGCCCACGGCUUAACCGUGUGAAGUGCAUCUGAAACUGGUCGGCUUGAGUAUCGGAGAGGAAAGUGGAAUUCCCGGUGUAGAGGUGAAAUUCGUAGAUAUCGGGAGGAAUACCGGUGGCGAAGGCGACU